rnacentral:rRNA from 1 species
ACAUGCAAGUCGAGCGGUAGCACAGGGGAGCUUGCUCCCCGGGUGACGAGCGGCGGACGGGUGAGUAAUGUCUGGGAAACUGCCUGAUGGAGGGGGAUAACUACUGGAAACGGUAGCUAAUACCGCAUAACGUCGCAAGACCAAAGAGGGGGACCUUCGGGCCUCUUGCCAUCAGAUGUGCCCAGAUGGGAUUAGCUAGUAGGUGGGGUAAUGGCUCACCUAGGCGACGAUCCCUAGCUGGKCUGAGAGGAUGACCAGCCACACUGGAACUGAGACACGGUCCAGACUCCUACGGGAGGCAGCAGUGGGGAAUAUUGCACAAUGGGCGCAAGCCUGAUGCAGCCAUGCCGCGUGUGUGAAGAAGGCCUUCGGGUUGUAAAGCACUUUCAGCGAGGAGGAAGGUGGUGAGCUUAAUACGCUCAUCAAUUGACGUUACUCGCAGAAGAAGCACCGGCUAACUCCGUGCCAGCAGCCGCGGUAAUACGGAGGGUGCAAGCGUUAAUCGGAAUUACUGGGCGUARAGCGCACGCAGGCGGUUUGUUAAGUCAGAUGUGAAAUCCCCGGGCUCARCCUGGGAACUGCAUUUGAAACUGGCAAGCUAGAGUCUCGUAGAGGGGGGUAGAAUUCC